GAUAGAUAUAGACCAAGGUAUUAUUUACAAACUUGGUAAUCUCCCAAACCAAAACAAAUACAAACUAAACUAAACUAAUGGCCAAAAAGGGGAAAAAUCAAUAGUAAAUUAUCAACUAAAUUAUCGUUCCCAAAAAUCUCAUAAAUGCUUGAUAAAUUUCUAACCUGAAGCUUUGAAGGGAUCAAUCCAUAGUAGUAAUAUCGAAUAAAAACAUAAUCCUGAACUUUAUACAUGUGGCCAGUGAAGCUCAGAAUAAUUCCCCUUAUUCUUUCUCCGAAACAGGCUAAAAUUUACGUUGACCUGCAGGAAGGAUAGUCAAACAUU
rnacentral:lncRNA from 1 species